rnacentral:lncRNA from 1 species
AUGCUUCCUUCAGUGACUUCAGACUGUCCAUUCACCUCAUCAUCACUGCUCUCCACACUCCUCUCACUCAAAGCCUCUUCAUCAUCACUGCUCUCCACACUCCUCUCACUCAAAGCCUCUUCGUCAUCACUGCUCUCCACACUCCUCUCACUCAAUGCCUCUUCGUCAUCACUGCUCUCCACACUCCUCUCACUCAAAGCCUCUUCGUCAUCACUGCUCUCCACACUCCUCUCACUCAAAGCCUCUUCAUCAUCACUGCUCUCCACACUCCUCUCACUCAAAGCCUCUUCAUCAUCACUGCUCUCCGCACUCCUCUCACUCAACGCCUCUUCGUCAUCACUGCUCUCCACACUCCUCUCACUCAACGCCUCUUCGUCAUCACUGCUCUCCACACUCCUCUCACUCAAAGCCUCUUCAUCAUCACUGCUCUCCGCACUCCUCUCACUCAACGCCUCUUCAUCAUCACUGCUCUCCACACUCCUCUCACUCAAAGCCUCUUCAUCAUCACUGCUCUCCACACUCCUCUCACUCAAAGCCUCUUCGUCAUCACUGCUCUCCACACUCCUCUCACUCAACGCCUCUUCGUCAUCACUGCUCUCCACACUCCUCUCACUCAAAGCCUCUUCAUCAUCACUGCUCUCCACACUCCUCUCACUCAAAGCCUCUUCGUCAUCACUGCUCUCCACACUCCUCUCACUCAAUGCCUCUUCGUCAUCACUGCUCUCCACACUCCUCUCACUCAAAGCCUCUUCGUCAUCACUGCUCUCCACACUCCUCUCACUCAAAGCCUCUUCAUCAUCACUGCUCUCCGCACUCCUCUCACUCAACGCCUCUUCGUCAUCACUGCUCUCCACACUCCUCUCACUCAACGCCUCUUCGUCAUCACUGCUCUCCACACUCCUCUCACUCAAAGCCUCUUCAUCAUCACUGCUCUCCGCACUCCUCUCACUCAACGCCUCUUCAUCAUCACUGCUCUCCACACUCCUCUCACUCAACGCCUCUUCAUCAUCACUGCUCUCCACACUCCUCUCACUCAACGCCUCUUCAUCAUCACUGCUCUCCACACUCCUCUCACUCAAAGCCUCUUCAUCAUCACUGCUCUCCGCACUCCUCUCACUCAAAGCCUCUUCGUCAUCACUGCUCUCCGCACUCCUCUCACUCAACGCCUCUUCGUCAUCACUGCUCUCCGCACUCCUCUCACUCAAAGCCUCUUCAUCAUCACUGCUCUCCGCACUCCUCUCACUCAAAGCCUCUUCAUCAUCACUGCUCUCCGCACUCCUCUCACUCAACGCCUCUUCAUCAUCACUGCUCUCCACACUCCUCUCACUCAACGCCUCUUCAUCAUCACUGCUCUCCACACUCCUCUCACUCAACGCCUCUUCAUCAUCACUGCUCUCCACACUCCUCUCACUCAACGCCUCUUCAUCAUCACUGCUCUCCACACUCCUCUCACUCAACGCCUCUUCAUCAUCACUGCUCUCCACACUCCUCUCACUCAACGCCUCUUCAUCAUCACUGCUCUCCACACUCCUCUCACUCAACGCCUCUUCAUCAUCACUGCUCUCCACACUCCUCUCACUCAAAGCCUCUUCAUCAUCACUGCUCUCCGCACUCCUCUCACUCAACGCCUCUUCAUCAUCACUGCUCUCCGCACUCCUCUCACUCAACGCCUCUUCAUCAUCACUGCUCUCCACACUCCUCUCACUCAAAGCCUCUUCGUCAUCACUGCUCUCCACACUCCUCUCACUCAACGCCUCUUCAUCAUCACUGCUCUCCACACUCCUCUCACUCAAAGCCUCUUCGUCAUCACUGCUCUCCACACUCCUCUCACUCAACGCCUCUUCAUCAUCACUGCUCUCCACACUCCUCUCACUCAAAGCCUCUUCAUCAUCACUGCUCUCCACACUCCUCUCACUCAAAGCCUCUUCGUCAUCACUGCUCUCCGCACUCCUCUCACUCAACGCCUCUUCAUCAUCACUGCUCUCCGCACUCCUCUCACUCAACGCCUCUUCAUCAUCACUGCUCUCCACACUCCUCUCACUCAAAGCCUCUUCGUCAUCACUGCUCUCCACACUCCUCUCACUCAAAGCCUCUUCAUCAUCACUGCUCUCCGCACUCCUCUCACUCAACGCCUCUUCAUCAUCACUGCUCUCCGCACUCCUCUCACUCAAAGCCUCUUCGUCAUCACUGCUCUCCGCACUCCUCUCACUCAACGCCUCUUCAUCAUCACUGCUCUCCGCACUCCUCUCACUCAACGCCUCUUCGUCAUCACUGCUCUCCACACUCCUCUCACUCAACGCCUCUUCGUCAUCACUGCUCUCCACACUCCUCUCACUCAACGCCUCUUCAUCAUCACUGCUCUCCACACUCCUCUCACUCAACGCCUCUUCAUCAUCACUGCUCUCCACACUCCUCUCACUCAAAGCCUCUUCAUCAUCACUGCUCUCCACACUCCUCUCACUCAACGCCUCUUCAUCAUCACUGCUCUCCACACUCCUCUCACUCAAAGCCUCUUCAUCAUCACUGCUCUCCACACUCCUCUCACUCAAAGCCUCUUCGUCAUCACUGCUCUCCACACUCCUCUCACUCAACGCCUCUUCAUCAUCACUGCUCUCCACACUCCUCUCACUCAAAGCCUCUUCGUCAUCACUGCUCUCCGCACUCCUCUCACUCAAAGCCUCUUCAUCAUCACUGCUCUCCACACUCCUCUCACUCAAAGCCUCUUCAUCAUCACUGCUCUCCACACUCCUCUCACUCAAAGCCUCUUCAUCAUCACUGCUCUCCACACUCCUCUCACUCAACGCCUCUUCAUCAUCACUGCUCUCCACACUCCUCUCACUCAAAGCCUCUUCAUCAUCACUGCUCUCCACACUCCUCUCACUCAAAGCCUCUUCAGCAUCACUGCUCUCCACACUCCUCUCACUCAACGCCUCUUCAUCAUCACUGCUCUCCACACUCCUCUCACUCAAAGCCUCUUCAGCAUCACUGCUCUCCACACUCCUCUCACUCAAAGCCUCUUCAUCAUCACUGCUCUCCACACUCCUCUCACUCAACGCCUCUUCAUCAUCACUGCUCUCCACACUCCUCUCACUCAAAGCCUCUUCAUCAUCACUGCUCUCCACACUCCUCUCACUCAACGCCUCUUCAUCAUCACUGCUCUCCACACUCCUCUCACUCAAAGCCUCUUCAGCAUCACUGCUCUCCACACUCCUCUCACUCAACGCCUCUUCGUCAUCACUGCUCUCCACACUCCUCUCACUCAACGCCUCUUCGUCAUCACUGCUCUCCACACUCCUCUCACUCAAAGCCUCUUCGUCAUCACUGCUCUCCGCACUCCUCUCACUCAACGCCUCUUCAUCAUCACUGCUCUCCACACUCCUCUCACUCAAAGCCUCUUCGUCAUCACUGCUCUCCGCACUCCUCUCACUCAAAGCCUCUUCGUCAUCACUGCUCUCCACACUCCUCUCACUCAACGCCUCUUCAUCAUCACUGCUCUCCACACUCCUCUCACUCAAAGCCUCUUCAUCAUCACUGCUCUCCACACUCCUCUCACUCAAAGCCUCUUCGUCAUCACUGCUCUCCGCACUCCUCUCACUCAACGCCUCUUCAUCAUCACUGCUCUCCGCACUCCUCUCACUCAACGCCUCUUCAUCAUCACUGCUCUCCACACUCCUCUCACUCAAAGCCUCUUCGUCAUCACUGCUCUCCACACUCCUCUCACUCAAAGCCUCUUCAUCAUCACUGCUCUCCGCACUCCUCUCACUCAACGCCUCUUCAUCAUCACUGCUCUCCGCACUCCUCUCACUCAAAGCCUCUUCGUCAUCACUGCUCUCCGCACUCCUCUCACUCAACGCCUCUUCGUCAUCACUGCUCUCCGCACUCCUCUCACUCAACGCCUCUUCGUCAUCACUGCUCUCCACACUCCUCUCACUCAACGCCUCUUCGUCAUCACUGCUCUCCACACUCCUCUCACUCAACGCCUCUUCAUCAUCACUGCUCUCCACACUCCUCUCACUCAACGCCUCUUCAUCAUCACUGCUCUCCACACUCCUCUCACUCAAAGCCUCUUCAUCAUCACUGCUCUCCACACUCCUCUCACUCAACGCCUCUUCAUCAUCACUGCUCUCCACACUCCUCUCACUCAAAGCCUCUUCAUCAUCACUGCUCUCCACACUCCUCUCACUCAAAGCCUCUUCGUCAUCACUGCUCUCCGCACUCCUCUCACUCAAAGCCUCUUCAUCAUCACUGCUCUCCACACUCCUCUCACUCAAAGCCUCUUCAUCAUCACUGCUCUCCACACUCCUCUCACUCAAAGCCUCUUCGUCAUCACUGCUCUCCACACUCCUCUCACUCAACGCCUCUUCAUCAUCACUGCUCUCCACACUCCUCUCACUCAAAGCCUCUUCGUCAUCACUGCUCUCCGCACUCCUCUCACUCAAAGCCUCUUCAUCAUCACUGCUCUCCACACUCCUCUCACUCAAAGCCUCUUCAUCAUCACUGCUCUCCACACUCCUCUCACUCAAAGCCUCUUCAUCAUCACUGCUCUCCACACUCCUCUCACUCAACGCCUCUUCAUCAUCACUGCUCUCCACACUCCUCUCACUCAAAGCCUCUUCAUCAUCACUGCUCUCCACACUCCUCUCACUCAAAGCCUCUUCAGCAUCACUGCUCUCCACACUCCUCUCACUCAACGCCUCUUCAUCAUCACUGCUCUCCACACUCCUCUCACUCAAAGCCUCUUCAGCAUCACUGCUCUCCACACUCCUCUCACUCAAAGCCUCUUCAUCAUCACUGCUCUCCACACUCCUCUCACUCAACGCCUCUUCAUCAUCACUGCUCUCCACACUCCUCUCACUCAAAGCCUCUUCAUCAUCACUGCUCUCCACACUCCUCUCACUCAACGCCUCUUCAUCAUCACUGCUCUCCACACUCCUCUCACUCAAAGCCUCUUCAGCAUCACUGCUCUCCACACUCCUCUCACUCAACGCCUCUUCGUCAUCACUGCUCUCCACACUCCUCUCACUCAACGCCUCUUCGUCAUCACUGCUCUCCACACUCCUCUCACUCAAAGCCUCUUCGUCAUCACUGCUCUCCGCACUCCUCUCACUCAACGCCUCUUCAUCAUCACUGCUCUCCACACUCCUCUCACUCAAAGCCUCUUCGUCAUCACUGCUCUCCGCACUCCUCUCACUCAAAGCCUCUUCAUCAUCACUGCUCUCCACACUCCUCUCACUCAAAGCCUCUUCAGCAUCACUGCUCUCCACACUCCUCUUACUCAACGCCUCUUCAUCAUCACUGCUCUCCACACUCCUCUCACUCAAAGCCUCUUCAUCAUCACUGCUCUCCACACUCCUCUCACUCAAAGCCUCUUCAGCAUCACUGCUCUCCACACUCCUCUCACUCAACGCCUCUUCAUCAUCACUGCUCUCCACACUCCUCUCACUCAAAGCCUCUUCAUCAUCACUGCUCUCCACACUCCUCUCACUCAACGCCUCUUCAUCAUCACUGCUCUCCACACUCCUCUCACUCAAAGCCUCUUCAUCAUCACUGCUCUCCACACUCCUCUCACUCAACGCCUCUUCAUCAUCACUGCUCUCCACACUCCUCUCACUCAAAGCCUCUUCAUCAUCACUGCUCUCCACACUCCUCUCACUCAAAGCCUCUUCAUCAUCACUGCUCUCCACACUCCUCUUACUCAACGCCUCUUCAUCAUCACUGCUCUCCACACUCCUCUCACUCAAAGCCUCUUCAGCAUCACUGCUCUCCACACUCCUCUUACUCAACGCCUCUUCAUCAUCACUGCUCUCCACACUCCUCUUACUCAAAGCCUCUUCAGCAUCACUGCUCUCCACACUCCUCUCACUCAAAGCCUCUUCAUCAUCACUGCUCUCCACACUCCUCUCACUCAAAGCCUCUUCAUCAUCACUGCUCUCCACACUCCUCUUACUCAACGCCUCUUCAUCAUCACUGCUCUCCACACUCCUCUCACUCAAAGCCUCUUCAGCAUCACUGCUCUCCACACUCCUCUUACUCAACGCCUCUUCAUCAUCACUGCUCUCCACACUCCUCUUACUCAAAGCCUCUUCAGCAUCAGCACCAUCAGUACUCUGCUGA